CUGAAAUUCCCCACCUUUCAUAUAUAAUAAAUAAAUCCCAGCCUUUUUUUUUAAUAAAAGAAAUCAGUCUUGAGAAUAACAUUCCAGGGUAGGGAAUAUAAAAUCAAGGAGAUCUUUUGCUUAGCAAAAUAACUAUGCUAAUUUGCUUAUGUGAGUUCAUUCUCUUUAAAUAUAUGUACAUAUAUAUAUAUAUAUAUUUUUUUUUGCAGAAUCGACUUAUCAAGAUGAGAUAAGGCCCGAAACAAGCAGCCACUGAGCCUGGAACUUGAGACCUGCAGUGUGGACCACCACCCCAGCACCCAUUAACGUGGCGCCUCUCCCAACGGUCUCAUUGCAGGAGAUCAGCCGCCGUGAAGGCCAUCGAAGCUUCAGAGACCGCGUCCAAAGGUGGAAGGGAGAACCGUGGCUACAGCACAGAGCAGCCUGGGCCCUCAGAGGCCGCUUCUUCUGCCCCUCCAACGUCUGGAGCGUCCACUCUUCCUCAGGGACGGCACGGUGGCCGACCAGCUGCCCAGAGUCCUGACCCCCACCCCCGGCCGGGCCCGGCCAGCCGCCCACAUGUUUCCUUCUUCACCACCAGUCCCAGGACGGUCAGGAGCGCCACGUUAGUGUAGCGACCCCUCCGUGGACCUCAGCUCGUACGUGGCCCACUUCGGGGUGUGGAAGCCCUCGUCCCUGCACGCCCAGGCCCAGCGCCGGGCAUCUGCUCCGCCAGAUUCCGCUGGAAGAGGCCAUGCUGGAAUCAUCAUCCCCACAGCUGCUUCACAGCGAGAGAAGGAACCUGCCGUCCAUGCUUCCAGGGGAAACGCUGACUGAAAACCUCUCAGGAGCUCCCCGGAUUCCGGGAAGCGAGAGGUGCUGGAUCGUCAUGCUGAGGCUGCUCUUCUCCACUCCACACUCCUGCUUGCUAACCCCUUGCAGGGCCCACUUCUGCCAUGACUUUGCAAAAAAAGAAAAAAAAAAGUCUUAAUUGAUGGCUGGAGACAUAGGAUACUGGUUCUGCAAACAGACAUUCCUGACUGAGGCUCCGAGGCCCCAGGUUCAAUCCCCAGCACCACCACCAGCCCGAGCUGAGCAGGGCUCUGGUCUCUCUUUGUAUCUUUCUUUCUCUGUCUCUUUCGU